UACGUAGGUGGCAAGCGUUGUCCGGAUUUACUGGGCGUAAAGGGCGUGCAGGCGGUCUGUUAAGUCUAGGGUGAAAGCUCCCGGCUCAACUGGGAGAGGUCCUUGGAUACUGGCGGACUUGAGGGAGGCAGAGGAGAGUAGAAUUCCCGGUGUAGUGGUGAUAUGCGUAGAUAUCGGGAGGAAUACCAGUGGCGAAGGCGGUUCUCUGGGCCUUACCUGACGCUGAGACGCGAAAGCGUGGGGAGCGAACCGG
rnacentral:rRNA from 1 species